rnacentral:rRNA from 1 species
ACGGCUCAGUAACACGUAGUCAACCUACCUUAUGGACGGGGAUAACCUCGGGAAACUGAGAAUAAUACCCGAUAGAUCAUUAUGCCUGGAAUGGUUUAUGGUCAAAAUGAAUUUCGCCAUAGGAUGGGACUGCGGUCUAUCAGCUUGUUGGUGAGGUAAUGGCCCACCAAGGCUAUAACAGAUACGGGCUCUGAGAGGAGAAGCCCGGAGAUGGGUACUGAGACACGGACCCAGGUCCUAUGGGGCGCAGCAGGCGAGAAAACUUUGCAAUGUGCGAAAGCACGACAAGGUUAAUCCGAGUGUUUCCUGCUAAAGGAAUCUUUUGCUAGUCAUAAAACCACUAUCGAAUAAGGGGUGGGCAAGUUCUGGUGUCAGCCGCCGCGGUAAAACCAGCACCUCAAGUGGUCAGGAGGAUUAUUGGGCCUAAAGCAUCCGUAGCCUGCUUUGUUAGUUUUCGGUUAAAUCCAUAUGCUCAACAUAUGGGCUGCCGGGAAUACUGCAUAGCUAGGGAGUGGGAGAGGUAGACGGUACUCCGUAGGAAGGGGUAAAAUCCUUUGAUCUAUGGACGACCACCUGUGGCGAAGGCGGUCUACCAGAACACGUCCGACGGUGAGGGAUGAAAGCUGGGGGAGCAAACCGGAUUAGAUACCCGGGUAGUCCCAGCUGUAAACUAUGCAAACUCGGUGAUGCAUUGGC